GAAGGAUGCAGAAUCCUUGACUCUAAAGCCUUGCUGACUUUAACGUUGUUUGUGCCACAAGCAAGAAGGAUCAGUUAAAAGAUCUUGGAUUGGAGAAAGUAUCAUAAACAUCUUGAAAGAACUUGCAUCAAUAUAGACAGCAGAUUAUUAAGCAGCUGAGGCUUCAAAAUGUUAAUAAUUAUUUGGAAGUUUUCUCCAAGAGUCCACAAUACAUUGUGAGCCAGAGGGCUUGUUCCUGUGCUGUACUGCUCUGCGUAAUGUCUGAAAAUUUCUGCAACAUGGAAAAGCACCAAGAAUGCAAAAGGUCUCAUGAUAUGGGUGGUCCCGGUUGUUUAGCGGCUGUCUGGCUGAAGAAAAAGGAUGCCGCCUGACCUGCCGAGCUUGUCCAGCAUUUUGUACGUCUGGCUCGAGACACAGUCCUUCACUGCCAUCAUUUCUGCCCAUUCACACAUAACUACAGACAGGACAUGAUUUGCAAAUUUCUGUUUUUAUUUCUACCUACAAAACUUGUCACUGACAAACAUUGUAA